rnacentral:lncRNA from 10 species
AGGUGCAUGCCACCACAUCCGGCUAGUUUUUGUAUUUUUUGUAGAGAUGAGGUUUUGUCAUGUUGCCCAGGCUGGUUUCAAACUCCUGGGCUCAAGUAAUCCUCCCACCUUGGCCCCGCAAAGUGCCGGAAUUACAGGCAUGAGCCACCCCACCCAGCCUUCCCCUAAUUUUGAUAAUGAUAAUCCAAUGUUCUGUUCUGGCAUUUGUGUAGUUUUAGCGUGUGCAGUCUUCGAAGCAGUGGAGGUAUUUGCCUUUUCUUCUCUGUGACUUAGUCAUUCAGCAGUUCUAUGCUAAGGGUUUUUUUAUAUGCCUUUAGGUUCUUGUUUAGAGUUAAUGGAUAAUGAAAACAUUUCUAAUGCAUAAGAGAAAUGCAUUCUGAAACAAAAAUAGAAUACAAGCCUUCAGACAGAAGGCAGAGAAGAAACUGGAGAAAGAGAAAUAAGAUGUUAGGUAGGAAACCAUGGGAGACAGCACUGGGGAAAGUAACCUCCAGACUGGGAGUCACUGGGAAACCAGAUAAAUGCUCCUUGGCAGCGGGAGGAGUUGAGGACACUUCAGCUUGGUCUUGGGAUGGGAGCCCAGAGAACGCAAGUUGCUCCAACUAGGUAGGGAAAAUGCUGGGACAGAUGAAACUUGAGUGGCUAACAAGAAGUACCAGGAGCCAAAGGCUCUCUGAACACUUGGGCCUCUUUUAAAUGUCUGCCUUAAAUAGCUUGUACCAUUGUAAGUCUUGCAUAAUGGGUGAGAACAUGAACUUUUAGAAUCAAAGAUGUCACUCUAGGUGUGGUUGUAUUUGGAGUAAGGAAAUAAUUAAGGUUAAAUGAGGUCAUAAGUGUGGGGCCCUGAUCCGAUAGGACUAGUGUCCUUAUCAGAAGAGUGAAUGGAGAGCUUGCCCCUUACCCUUACAUACUGAAGAAAGAUUAUGUGAGGACUAGCAAGAAGGUGGCCAUGUACAAGACAGGAACAGAGCUGCCACCAGAGACCAAAUUGGCCAAAACCUUGAUCUUGGGCUUCUAGUCUCCAGAAUGGUGACAAAGUAAAUUUCUGUUGUUUAAGUCACCCAGUCUGUGGUAUUUUAGUAUGACAGCCCAAGCAGACAAAUACACCAUCUAUAUGCAGAUACAUCCAAAUCUCUAGUCUGUUGUAUGUCUGUACCUCUCCCCUGAACUUGGCUUUGUUCUCCACUUGCCUACUUAUUGUCACCACUUGGAUAUAUAAUAGAUGUCUCAAACUUCACUUCUCUGUAAACUGAACUCCUGAUAGUCCCCUCAAGCCUACUCCAUAGACAUCUUUCUCUUCUCUUUUUUUUGGAGACAGGGUCUUGCUGUGUCGCCCAGGCUGGAGUGCAAUGGCGUGAUCAUGGUUCACUGCAGCCUUGAACUCCUAGACUUAGGUGAUCCUCCCACCUCCGCCUCCCAAGUAGGAUGUGAGGGCAACCUGGCUGUGACAUCUCUCACCCCGUUGAUCACCAGGGUUGAUCCGGCUGAUCUGGCUGGCUAGGCCGGUGUCUC